rnacentral:rRNA from 1 species
UACGUAGGGUGCGAGCGUUAAUCGGAAUUACUGGGCGUAAAGCGUGCGCAGGCGGUUUUGUAAGCCAGAUGUGAAAGCCCCGGGCUUAACCUGGGAAUGGCAUUUGGGACUGCAAGGCUUGAGUGCGGCAGAGGAGACUGGAAUUCCUGGUGUAGCAGUGAAAUGCGUAGAUAUCAGGGAGGAAUACCGAUGGCGAAGGCAGGUCUCUGGGCUGACACUGACGCUCAUGCACGAAAGCGUGGGGAGCAA